GACAGAGGUGCCGAGCGUUAGGCGGAAUCACUGGGCUUAAAGCGUGUGUAGGCGGCGGCGUAAGUACCUUGUGAAAGCCCACGGCUCAACCGUGGAAGUGCCUUUGAUACCGUGAGUCUCGAGGGAGGUAGGGGCGUGCGGAACUUCCGGUGGAGCGGUGAAAUGCGUAGAUAUCGGAAGGAACAUCGGUGGCGAAAGCGGCGCGCUGGACCUCUUCUGACGCUGAGGCGCGAAAGCCAGGGGAGCAAACGGG
rnacentral:rRNA from 1 species